rnacentral:rRNA from 1 species
GACAGAGGGUGCAAACGUUGUUCGGAAUUACUGGGCGUAAAGCGCGUGUAGGCUGCUCCGAAAGUCGGAUGUGAAAGCCCUGGGCUCAACCUAGGAAGUGCACUCGAAACUUCGGAGCUGGAGUCCUGGAGAGGAAGGCGGAAUUCUCGGUGUAGAGGUGAAAUUCGUAGAUAUCGAGAGGAACACCGGUGGCGAAGGCGGCCUUCUGGACAGUGACUGACGCUGAGACGCGAAAGCGUGGGGAGCAAACAAG